CUGCAACCGCAUGCUAUAAUAAUAAUGUCGCAACGUUUGUCUUUUUACUCCCCAGACUACCUCGACAGCACAGCAGCCGCACCAACGGCUAAAAUGACUCCAAAAACAGGUCGUUCGCCGCUGAUACGCUGGACUCUGAAGGACCCUCGAGUUCCAACAACAUCAUCCGCCUAGAACCGAAACAACUUGCCUUAGAGACUGAUUUUCCACUGCUCGAACUACCUCUACUCCGUCCGCCUGCACUGCCACCAAAUACAAAGACUUCGGCAGGAGCGAAAUGAUCUCGCGUCCAUCCUCUACUGCAAAAUCUGCCUUGAAAAGCGUCAGGUUGUCGGAUGAUAUGAUGGCGAGUGCGUAUCUAUUUCUGGAUGGAAGUACGGAGUUAGGCGAGUACGCAAGAUAAUCAUGAUCCGUCGGAAUAUCAGUCACGAGAAAAAUUGAAGAUGAAUUGGGAUAUGUCAGAAUAUACUGCAAGGGGCCCGUAUCGUUCUAACUUGACUGGAAGAAAAAAUCAAUAUGCCGCCUUCAAAUAAGCCGAAGUAUCGGGUUAUAAUACAAUUCGAUCUCGCAAGACUCUACCCCCCAUUCCACAACAUGUAUACCAUUACUUUUCCAUCCGAAUGGGGCUGACCGGAAGGCAACGUCAAUAGCUUGGGCAG
rnacentral:sRNA from 1 species